ACGGGUGAGUAACACGUGGGCAAUCUGCCCUUCACUCUGGGACAAGCCCUGGAAACGGGGUCUAAUACCGGAUAUCACUCCUGCAGGCAUCUGUGGGGGUUGAAAGCUCCGGCGGUGAAGGAUGAGCCCGCGGCCUAUCAGCUUGUUGGUGAGGUAAUGGCUCACCAAGGCGACGACGGGUAGCCGGCCUGAGAGGGCGACCGGCCACACUGGGACUGAGACACGGCCCAGACUCCUACGGGAGGCAGCAGUGGGGAAUAUUGCACAAUGGGCGAAAGCCUGAUGCAGCGACGCCGCGUGAGGGAUGACGGCCUUCGGGUUGUAAACCUCUUUCAGCAGGGAAGAAGCGAAAGUGACGGUACCUGCAGAAGAAGCGCCGGCUAACUACGUGCCAGCAGCCGCGGUAAUACGUAGGGCGCAAGCGUUGUCCGGAAUUAUUGGGCGUAAAGAGCUCGUAGGCGGUCUGUCGCGUCGGAUGUGAAAGCCCGGGGCUUAACCCCGGGUCUGCAUUCGAUACGGGCAGACUAGAGUGUGGUAGGGGAGAUCGGAAUUCCUGGUGUAGCGGUGAAAUGCGCAGA
rnacentral:rRNA from 27 species